ensembl:lncRNA
UUUCUCAGGAGUUCCUGUUGGAUAAAACGGAGAAAGAUGGCCUAUAAGUAAAGAUAAUUAUGUGGAUUGAUAAUAGGCUUAAACAAUUGUAUCCAAAGUAAGAAAUGGAAUAUUUCCUGUUAUAUCAGUAAACAAGGAUGUCACAGUCAUCAGCAAUUGCAGCCACUAUGGAUAGUGAGCCAGUGAGCCCGAGGAAAUUCACCUAGGGAAAGAAUACCUGUCAUCUAGCCAUCAGACUGCACCCCUCCCCACAGUGAGCCCUGAAGAAACUCAGCAGUAGGGAUAUCGCUCCCAAAGAAAAGGCAGCAUGUUCAUGACGUAACAGCAACAUUAACAGAAGGUGAUUAUGAACAGAAUAGGCAUUGGGAAGAAGAAAGAAACUCAGAGUGGAGCGAGAUAAGGACAAACUGGAACCUCCUGGCACCUCUGCAUCUCUGUUCUUUAUCACCUUUAAGCAACAACAGCUCUUUCACAUCUACCUCCCAAAUUUCAUGUAAAACGUCUCUGGUAGCAAGUCCUACUCUGAAC